CGCUGGCGGCAGGCCUAACACAUGCAAGUCGAGCGGAUGACGGGAGCUUGCUCCUUGAUUCAGCGGCGGACGGGUGAGUAAUGCCUAGGAAUCUGCCUGGUAGUGGGGGACAACGUUUCGAAAGGAACGCUAAUACCGCAUACGUCCUACGGGAGAAAGCAGGGGACCUUCGGGCCUUGCGCUAUCAGAUGAGCCUAGGUCGGAUUAGCUAGUUGGUGAGGUAAUGGCUCACCAAGGCGACGAUCCGUAACUGGUCUGAGAGGAUGAUCAGUCACACUGGAACUGAGACACGGUCCAGACUCCUACGGGAGGCAGCAGUGGGGAAUAUUGGACAAUGGGCGAAAGCCUGAUCCAGCCAUGCCGCGUGUGUGAAGAAGGUCUUCGGAUUGUAAAGCACUUUAAGUUGGGAGGAAGGGCAGUAAGCUAAUACCUUGCUGUUUUGACGUUACCGACAGAAUAAGCACCGGCUAACUCUGUGCCAGCAGCCGCGGUAAUACAGAGGGUGCAAGCGUUAAUCGGAAUUACUGGGCGUAAAGCGCGCGUAGGUGGUUCGUUAAGUUGGAUGUGAAAGCCCCGGGCUCAACCUGGGAACUGCAUCCAAAACUGGCGAGCUAGAGUACGGUAGAGGGUGGUGGAAUUUCCUGUGUAGCGGUGAAAUGCGUAGAUAUAGGAAGGAACACCAGUGGCGAAGGCGACCACCUGGACUGAUACUGACACUGAGGUGCGAAAGCGUGGGGAGCAAACAGGAUUAGA
rnacentral:rRNA from 1 species